rnacentral:lncRNA from 1 species
GCAAGCGCUGUUCUAUGAGGCCACAACCUGACCCAAAGGACCCCGCCCCCAUCGGCCGCCUAAACUCCAGAGCACGAGCAAGAAAGUGGAGGGCCACGGGCUGCAGCGUAGCCGAGUUUGAAUACUGGUUCCAUAGCUGGCUAGCUGUACGACCUCGGGCAAGUUAUCACAAAACAGGGAGAAUCCCGGCACCUAACUCGGAACGGUCACAGGCUGAGAUGAUAUUACUGUGUGAAGUGCGCAGAGCGGUGUUGGGCACAUGGUCAUCGGAACUAUAUAAGAACUGAAGCGUGGCAAGAUUAAGGAAGUUGCUCAACUUCACAUAGUCAGAACAUGACUCUAGGGAGUAGAGGCUA